rnacentral:rRNA from 1 species
UACAGAGGUCUCAAGCGUUGUUCGGAUUCAUUGGGCGUAAAGGGUGCGUAGGCGGCGCGGUAAGUCGGGUGUGAAAUUUCGAGGCUUAGCUUCGAAACUGCAUUCGAUACUGCCGUGCUUGAGGACUGGAGAGGAGACUGGAAUUUACGGUGUAGCGGUGAAAUGCGUAGAUAUCGUAAGGAAGACCAGUGGCGAAGGCGGGUCUCUGGACAGUUCCUGACGCUGAGGCACGAAGGCCAGGGGAGCAAACGGG